AGUGAACGCUGGCGAUAGGCCUAACACAUGCAAGUCGAACGGCAGCACAGUAAGAGCUUGCUCUUACGGGUGGCGAGUGGCGGACGGGUGAGGAAUACAUCGGAAUCUACUUUUUCGUGGGGGAUAACGUAGGGAAACUUACGCUAAUACCGCAUACGACCUACGGGUGAAAGCAGGGGAUCUUCGGACCUUGCGCGAUUGAAUGAGCCGAUGUCGGAUUAGCUAGUUGGCGGGGUAAAGGCCCACUAAGGCGACGAUCCGUAGCUGGUCUGAGGGGAUGGUCAGCCACACUGGAACUGAGACACGGUCCAGACUCCUACGGGAGGCAGCAGUGGGGAAUAUUGGACAAUGGGCGCAAGCCUGAUCCGGCCAUACCGCGUGGGUGAAGAAGGCCUUCGGGUUGUAAAGCCCUUUUGUUGGGAAAGAAAAGCAGCAGGUUAAUACCCCGCUGUUCUGACGGUACCCAAAGAAUAAGCACCGGCUAACUUCGUG
rnacentral:rRNA from 1 species